CAGGGACCAGCCUCCCUUACUGAAAUCUGUUCACCUCUGUCCCAGAGUUCAUGUCUCAUAUGCUAGGGCUAUGUCACGAGCAUAUGUUUGAAGUGCUGAUCUUUUGCAACAUAUUGGUGGAUAAGAAAAUAUGAUUCCAAGCAGUGAUUUUCCUCCAGACCUGCUAGAUGAACUCUGCCAGGUACCAUGUAGCUGCGUCAAUGUUCCGGACUGCUCUGCUGAGAACACUGAAACAGAAAAACAAGAAAAGAAGGGAAUGCUUUCUUAUGAAUAUAUACUUAAGAUCUUAAGGUCAUAAAAGUAACAUCUGAUUUUGGGAAACAAGCUGUGAUUAGAGAAAAACUCAGGAGCUGAAUGCAUAGAUUACAUAUAUCCCUUGACACCCAAAAAGGCAGAACAUUCUUUCAUGUCUUCUGCAGAAAACAAGGAAAGAAUGACAAUUUUUACUUCAGACAGAAAUGACAUUCCACUACAAUUCACCACCAUCCAAGCACAAAGCAUCCUACAAGAGAUUGAUCGUACAAGUGAAAUCUGAGAAACUGUAAAAGAUCAUAACAUUUUUGGAUCUGGUUUCCACUGGGCAUCAUAGUUUGAAACCCACUGAAGCUGAAUCCCUCACAACUCAAAAAGAAUAAAGAAACCCUGUUCCUCUCCCCUAAAUUCUGCCAUACAAAAAGUAUGAGAGUUCUGUAGAAGGAGCAGAAUGGACUCUACAUUGAAUUCUGCACUGAAGGCAAAGCAGCAUUACUUUUCAGAUCCGUUUUACUUCAAA